rnacentral:rRNA from 1 species
CUAAGAGCGAAUGGUGGAUGCCUUGACUGGUAAAGGCGAUGAAGGACGUACUAGACUGCGAUAAGCUACGGGGAGCUGUCAAGAAGCUUUGAUCCGUAGAUUUCCGAAUGGGGCAACCCAAUGUAUAGAGAUAUACAUUACCUAUAUAGGAGCGAACGAGGGGAAUUGAAACAUCUUAGUACCCUCAGGAAAAGAAAUCAAUAGAGAUUGCGUCAGUAGCGGCGAGCGAAAGCGCAAGAGGGCAAACCCAGUGCUUGCACUGGGGGUUGUAGGACUGCAAUGUGCAAGAGGUGAGUUUAGCAGAACAUUCUGGAAAGUAUAGCCAUAGAGGGUGAUAGUCCCGUAUGCGAAAAACAAACCUUAGCUAGCAGUAUCCUGAGUAGGGCGGGACACGAGAAAUCCUGUCUGAAGCCGGGUCGACCACGAUCCAACCCUAAAUACUAAUACCAGAUCGAUAGUGCACAAGUACCGUGAGGGAAAGGUGAAAAGAACUGAGGUGAUCAGAGUGAAAUAGAACCUGAAACCAUUUGCUUACAAUCAUUCAGAGCACUAUGUAGCAAUACAGUGUGAUGGACUGCCUUUUGCAUAAUGAGCCUGCGAGUUGUGGUGUCUGGCAAGGUUAAGCAAACGCGAAGCCGUAGCGAAAGCGAGUCUGAAUAGGGCGCUUAGUCAGAUGCUGCAGACCCGAAACGAAGUGAUCUAUCCAUGAGCAAGUUGAAGCUAGUGUAAGAACUAGUGGAGGACUGAACCCAUAGGCGUUGAAAAGCCCCGGGAUGACUUGUGGAUAGGGGUGAAAGGCCAAUCAAACUUCGUGAUAGCUGGUUCUCUCCGAAAUAUAUUUAGGUAUAGCGUUGUGUCGUAAUAUAAGGGGGUAGAGCACUGAAUGGGCUAGGGCAUACACCAAUGUACCAAACCCUAUCAAACUCCGAAUACCUUAUAUGUAAUCACAGCAGUCAGGCGGCGAGUGAUAAAAUCCGUCGUCAAGAGGGAAACAACCCAGACUACCAGCUAAGGUCCCUAAAUCUUACUUAAGUGGAAAACGAUGUGAAGUUACUUAAACAACCAGGAGGUUGGCUUAGAAGCAGCCAUCCUUUAAAGAAAGCGUAAUAGCUCACUGGUCUAGUGAUUUUGCGCGGAAAAUAUAACGGGGCUAAAGUAAGUACCGAAGCUGUAGACUUGACUUUGUCAAGUGGUAGGAGAGCGUUCUAUUUGCGUCGAAGGUAUACCGGUAAGGAGUGCUGGAGCGAAUAGAAGUGAGCAUGCAGGCAUGAGUAGCGAUAAUUAAUGUGAGAAUCAUUAACGCCGUAAACCCAAGGUUUCCUACGCGAUGCUCGUCAUCGUAGGGUUAGUCGGGUCCUAAGUCGAGUCCGAAAGGGGUAGACGAUGGCAAAUUGGUUAAUAUUCCAAUACCAACAUUAGUGUGCGAUGGAAGGACGCUUAGGGCUAAGGGGGCUAGCGGAUGGAAGUGCUAGUCUAAGGUCGUAGGUGCUUAUACAGGCAAAUCCGUAUAAGAAUACACCGAGAACUGAAAGGCUUUUUGAAGUCUUCGGAUGGAUAGAAGAACCCCUGAUGCCGUCGAGCCAAGAAAAGUUUCUAAGUUUAGCUAAUGUUGCCCGUACCGUAAACCGACACAGGUGGGUGGGAUGAGUAUUCUAAGGCGCGUGGAAGAACUCUCUUUAAGGAACUCUGCAAAAUAGCACCGUAUCUUCGGUAUAAGGUGUGGUUCGCUUCGUAUUAGGAUUUACUCCGAAAGCGAAGAAACUUACAACAAAGAGUCCCUCCCGACUGUUUACCAAAAACACAGCACUCUGCUAACUCGUAAGAGGAUGUAUAGGGUGUGACGCCUGCCCGGUGCUCGAAGGUUAAUUGAUGGGGUUAGCAUUAGCGAAGCUCUUGAUCGAAGCCCGAGUAAACGGCGGCCGUAACUAUAACGGUCCUAAGGUAGCGAAAUUCCUUGUCGGUUAAAUACCGACCUGCAUGAAUGGCGUAACGAGAUGGGAGCUGUCUCAAAGAGGGAUCCAGUGAAAUUGUAGUGGAGGUGAAAAUUCCUCCUACCCGCGGCAAGACGGAAAGACCCCGUGGACCUUUACUACAGCUUGACACUGCUACUUGGAUAAGAAUGUGCAGGAUAGGUGGGAGGCUUUGAGUAUAUGACGCCAGUUGUAUAUGAGCCAUUGUUGAGAUACCACUCUUUCUUAUUUGGGUAGCUAACCAGCUUGAGUUAUCCUCAAGUGGGACAAUGUCUGGUGGGUAGUUUGACUGGGGCGGUCGCCUCCCAAAUAAUAACGGAGGCUUACAAAGGUUGGCUCAGAACGGUUGGAAAUCGUUCGUAGAGUAUAAAGGUAUAAGCCAGCUUAACUGCAAGACAUACAAGUCAAGCAGAGACGAAAGUCGGUCUUAGUGAUCCGGUGGUUCUGUGUGGAAGGGCCAUCGCUCAAAGGAUAAAAGGUACCCCGGGGAUAACAGGCUGAUCUCCCCCAAGAGCUCACAUCGACGGGGAGGUUUGGCACCUCGAUGUCGGCUCAUCGCAUCCUGGGGCUGGAGCAGGUCCCAAGGGUAUGGCUGUUCGCCAUUUAAAGCGGUACGCGAGCUGGGUUCAGAACGUCGUGAGACAGUUCGGUCCCUAUCUGCCGUGGGCGUAAGAAGAUUGAAGAGAUUUGACCCUAGUACGAGAGGACCGGGUUGAACAAACCACUGGUGUAGCUGUUGUUCUGCCAAGAGCAUCGCAGCGUAGCUAAGUUUGGAAAGGAUAAACGCUGAAAGCAUCUAAGCGUGAAGCCAACUCUAAGAUGAAUCUUCUCUAAGCUCUCUAGAAGACUACUAGUUUGAUAGGCUGGGUGUGUAAUGGAUGAAAGUCCUUUAGCUGACCAGUACUAAUAGAGCGUUUGGCUUAUCU